GCCCUUAUAACUCAAUUGGCAGAGUGCCGGGCCUGAAGCCCGGAUGUUGCAGGUUCGAGUCCUGCUAAGGGCC
rnacentral:tRNA from 1 species